rnacentral:rRNA from 1 species
UGGGGAAUAUUGGACAAUGGGCGAAAGCCUGAUCCAGCCAUGCCGCGUGUGUGAAGAAGGUCUUCGGAUUGUAAAGCACUUUAAGUUGGGAGGAAGGGCAGUAAGCGAAUACCUUGCUGUUUUGACGUUACCGACAGAAUAAGCACCGGCUAACUCUGUGCCAGCAGCCGCGGUAAUACAGAGGGUGCAAGCGUUAAUCGGAAUUACUGGGCGUAAAGCGCGCGUAGGUGGUUCGUUAAGUUGAAUGUGAAAGCCCCGGGCUCAACCUGGGAACUGCAUCCAAAACUGGCGAGCUAGAGUAGGGCAGAGGGUGGUGGAAUUUCCUGUGUAGCGGUGAAAUGCGUAGAUAUAGGAAGGAACACCAGUGGCGAAGGCGACCACCUGAGCUCAUACUGACACUGAGGUGCGAAAGCGUGGGGAGCAAACAGG